AGGAAAAGAAAUCAACCGAGAUUCCCCUAGUAGCGGCGAGCGAACGGGGAGCAGCCCAGAGUCUUAAUCAGCAUUAGUAUCAGGAGAACGGUCUGGAAAGUCCGGCAGUAAAGGGUGAUAGCCCCGUAUCUGAAGAUGCUAGUGUUGUGAACUCGACGAGUAGGGCGGGACACGUGUUAUCCUGUCUGAAUAUGGGGGGACCAUCCUCCAAGGCUAAAUACUCCUGAUUGACCGAUAGUGAACCAGUACCGUGAGGGAAAGGCGAAAAGAACCCCGGCGAGGGGAGUGAAAUAGAACCUGAAACCGUGUACGUACAAGCAGUGGGAGCCUUGAUUUAUCAGGGUGACUGCGUACCUUUUGUAUAAUGGGUCAGCGACUUAUAUUCUGUAGCAAGGUUAACCGUAUAGGGGAGCCGUAGGGAAACCGAGUCUUAACUGGGCGAAUGAGUUGCAGGGUAUAGACCCGAAACCCGGUGAUCUAGCCAUGGGCAGGUUGAAGGUUGGGUAACACUAACUGGAGGACCGAACCGACUAAUGUUGAAAAAUUAGCGGAUGACUUGUGGCUGGGGGUGAAAGGCCAAUCAAACCGGGAGAUAGCUGGUUCUCCCCGAAAGCUAUUUAGGUAGCGCCUCGUGAACUCAUCUUCGGGGGUAGAGCACUGUUUCGACUAGGGGGUCAUCCCGACUUACCAACUCGAUGCAAACUACGAAUACCGAAGAAUGUUAUCACGGGAGACACACGGCGGGUGCUAACGUUCGUCGUGAAGAGGGAAACAACCCAGACCGCCAGCUAAGGUCCCAAAGUCAUAGUUAAGUGGGAAACGAAGUGGGAAGGCUCAGACAGCCAGGAUGUUGGCUUAGAAGCAGCCAUCAUUUAAAGAAAGCGUAAUAGCUCACUGGUCGAGUCGGCCUGCGCGGAAGAUGUAACGGGGCUAAACUAUGCACCGAAGCUGCGGCAGCGAUAUGUAAAUAUUGUUGGGUAGGGGAGCGU
rnacentral:rRNA from 1 species